rnacentral:rRNA from 1 species
AUUGAACGCUGGCGGCAUGCCUUACACAUGCAAGUCGAACGGCAGCGGACCUUCGGGUGCCGGCGAGUGGCGAACGGGUGAGUAAUAUAUCGGAACGUGCCUUUCAGUGGGGGAUAACGUAGCGAAAGUUACGCUAAUACCGCAUAUUCUCUGAGGAGGAAAGCAGGGGACCUUCGGGCCUUGCGCUGAUAGAGCGGCCGAUAUCAGAUUAGCUAGUUGGUGGGGUAAAGGCCUGCCAAGGCGACGAUCUGUAGCGGGUCUGAGAGGAUGAUCCGCCACACUGGGACUGAGACACGGCCCAGACUCCUACGGGAGGCAGCAGUGGGGAAUUUUGGACAAUGGGCGAAAGCCUGAUCCAGCCAUGCCGCGUGAGUGAAGAAGGCCUUCGGGUUGUAAAGCUCUUUCGGCCGGGAAGAAAUCGCACAGGCUAAUACCUUGUGUGGAUGACGGUACCGGAAUAAGAAGCACCGGCUAACUACGUGCCAGCAGCCGCAGUAA